ACCCCCUGGCAAUGGGCAAAGGGAUACCUUAUUGGUGGUAUUCUUAUAUCAUACAGGGAGAGAGCUGAACACAGUCCCUUAUUCGUCCUAGUUUUUUGUCUAUUUUGGGAGUCAAAGCUGUUUUAUGCCUAGGACUCAUAA
rfam:Mus musculus chromosome 4, GRC primary reference assembly.